rnacentral:rRNA from 1 species
CCUACGGGAGGCAGCAGUGGGGAAUUGUUCGCAAUGGGCGCAAGCCUGACGACGCAACGCCGCGUGGAGGAUGAAGAUCUUCGGGUCGUAAACUCCUGUCGAGCGGGACGAACACCUGCCGCGCGAACAGCGCGGGAGGCUGACGGUACCGCGCGAGGAAGCCCCGGCUAACUCCGUGCCAGCAGCCGCGGUAAUACGGGGGGGGCAAGCGUUGUUCGGAAUUACUGGGCGUAAAGAGCUCGUAGGCGGCCGACUCAGUCGGACGUGAAAGCCCCCGGCUCAACUGGGGAACUGCGUCCGAUACUGGUGGGCUUGAGUCCGGGAGAGGGACGUGGAAUUCCAGGUGUAGCGGUGAAAUGCGUAGAGAUCUGGAGGAACACCGGUGGCGAAGGCGGCUCUCUGGACCGAUACUGACGCUGAGACGCGAAAGCGUGGGGAGCAAACGGGAUUAGAUACCCGAGUAGU